CGAUUUUUUACCUAUCCUAACAACAAUCACAAUCGGAACUUCCGAGGUAAUUCAUGGGCUAACCCUGCACCAAAGACAGUUUAACAAUAGACUGUUGCAUUUGUUAGUCUUCAAACCAACACUUUGAGGUGAAUCAUGACAAACUGCGGAACCUUAUGUUGUAAAAAACGAAGGUCGACUAGGAAGGGAUUAUCACCUAUCAUUUUUCGAAGGAAGUGUAUUGCACUUUCUUGACGUUGACGGGUAACAGGAACUCAGGGGUUGGUUCUGGAGAGGGAGCCUGAGAGAUGGCUACCACAUCUAAGGAAGGCAGCAGGCGCGCAAAUUCUUCAAUAGCCAGAUGGCUGAAAGAGUGACGAUCAAUAACGAUGUACGACCUUUUAGGUUGUGCAAUUGGAAUGACAGCAAUUUAAAGAGUUCAAGGAGGAUCAAUU
rnacentral:rRNA from 1 species